rnacentral:tRNA from 1 species
UGGGAUAUUAGCUCAGUUGGUUAGAGCGCCACGUUGACAUCGUGGAGGUCAGCUGUUCGAGUCAGCUAUAUCCCAACCA